rnacentral:rRNA from 1 species
UAUGUAGGGUGCGAGCGUUAAUCGGAAUUACUGGGCGUAAAGCGUGCGCAGGCGGUUCGUUAAGUCAGAUGUGAAAGCCCCGGGCUCAACCUGGGAACUGCAUUUGAAACUGGCGGGCUUGAGUGUGGCAGAGGGGGGUGGAAUUCCGCGUGUAGCAGUGAAAUGCGUAGAGAUGCGGAGGAACACCGAUGGCGAAGGCAGCCCCCUGGGCCAACACUGACGCUCAGGCACGAAAGCGUGGGGAGCAAACAGG